rnacentral:rRNA from 1 species
UUAAGCGACUAAGCGUACACGGUGGAUGCCUGGCAGUCAGAGGCGAUGAAGGACGUGCUAAUCUGCGAUAAGCGUCGGUGAGGUGAUAUGAACCGUUAUAACCGGCGAUUUCCGAAUGGGGAAACCCAGUGUGUUUCGACACACUAUCAUUAACUGAAUCCAUAGGUUAAUGAGGCGAACCGGGGGAACUGAAACAUCUAAGUACCCCGAGGAAAAGAAAUCAACCGAGAUUCCCCCAGUAGCGGCGAGCGAACGGGGAGGAGCCCAGAGCCUGAAUCAGUGUGUGUGUUAGUGGAAGCGUCUGGAAAGGCGCGCGAUACAGGGUGACAGCCCCGUACACAAAAUGCACAUACUGUGAGCUCGAUGAGUAGGGCGGGACACGUGGUAUCCUGUCUGAAUAUGGGGGGGACCAUCCUCCAAGGCUAAAUACUCCUGACUGACCGAUAGUGAACCAGUACCGUGAGGGAAAGGCGAAAAGAACCCCGGCGAGGGGAGUGAAAAAGAACCUGAAACCGUGUACGUACAAGCAGUGGGAGCCUCUUAAUGGGGUGACUGCGUACCUUUUGUAUAAUGGGUCAGCGACUUAUAUUCUGUAGCAAGGUUAACCGAAUAGGGGAGCCGAAGGGAAACCGAGUCUUAACUGGGCGUUAAGUUGCAGGGUAUAGACCCGAAACCCGGUGAUCUAGCCAUGGGCAGGUUGAAGGUUGGGUAACACUAACUGGAGGACCGAACCGACUAAUGUUGAAAAAUUAGCGGAUGACUUGUGGCUGGGGGUGAAAGGCCAAUCAAACCGGGAGAUAGCUGGUUCUCCCCGAAAGCUAUUUAGGUAGCGCCUCGUGAAUUCAUCUCCGGGGGUAGAGCACUGUUUCGGCAAGGGGGUCAUCCCGACUUACCAACCCGAUGCAAACUGCGAAUACCGGAGAAUGUUAUCACGGGAGACACACGGCGGGUGCUAACGUCCGUCGUGAAGAGGGAAACAACCCAGACCGCCAGCUAAGGUCCCAAAGUCAUGGUUAAGUGGGAAACGAUGUGGGAAGGCCCAGACAGCCAGGAUGUUGGCUUAGAAGCAGCCAUCAUUUAAAGAAAGCGUAAUAGCUCACUGGUCGAGUCGGCCUGCGCGGAAGAUGUAACGGGGCUAAACCAUGCACCGAAGCUGCGGCAGCGACACUAUGUGUUGUUGGGUAGGGGAGCGUUCUGUAAGCCUGUGAAGGUGGCCUGUGAGGGUUGCUGGAGGUAUCAGAAGUGCGAAUGCUGACAUAAGUAACGAUAAAGCGGGUGAAAAGCCCCGCUCGCCGGAAGACCAAGGGUUCCUGUCCAACGUUAAUCGGGGCAGGGUGAGUCGACCCCCUAAGGCGAGGCCGAAAGGCGUAGUCGAUGGAAACAGGUUAAUAUUCCUGUACUUGGUGUUACUGCGAAGGGGGGACGGAGAAGGCUAUGUUGGCCGGGCGACGGUUGUCCCGGUUUAAGCGUGUAGGCUGGUUUUCCAGGCAAAUCCGGAAACCAAGGCUGAGGCGUGAUGACGAGGCACUACGGUGCUGAAGCGACAAAUGCCCUGCUUCCAGGAAAAGCCUCUAAGCAUCAGGUAACAUCAAAUCGUACCCCAAACCGACACAGGUGGUCAGGUAGAGAAUACCAAGGCGCUUGAGAGAACUCGGGUGAAGGAACUAGGCAAAAUGGUGCCGUAACUUCGGGAGAAGGCACGCUGAUAUGUAGGUGAAGCGACUUGCUCGUGGAGCUGAAAUCAGUCGAAGAUACCAGCUGGCUGCAACUGUUUAUUAAAAACACAGCACUGUGCAAACACGAAAGUGGACGUAUACGGUGUGACGCCUGCCCGGUGCCGGAAGGUUAAUUGAUGGGGUUAGCGGCAACGCGAAGCUCUUGAUCGAAGCCCCGGUAAACGGCGGCCGUAACUAUAACGGUCCUAAGGUAGCGAAAUUCCUUGUCGGGUAAGUUCCGACCUGCACGAAUGGCGUAAUGAUGGCCAGGCUGUCUCCACCCGAGACUCAGUGAAAUUGAACUCGCUGUGAAGAUGCAGUGUACCCGCGGCAAGACGGAAAGACCCCGUGAACCUUUACUAUAGCUUGACACUGAACAUUGAGCCUUGAUGUGUAGGAUAGGUGGGAGGCUUUGAAGUGUGGACGCCAGUCUGCAUGGAGCCGACCUUGAAAUACCACCCUUUAAUGUUUGAUGUUCUAACGUUGGCCCGUAAUCCGGGUUGCGGACAGUGUCUGGUGGGUAGUUUGACUGGGGCGGUCUCCUCCUAAAGAGUAACGGAGGAGCACGAAGGUUGGCUAAUCCUGGUCGGACAUCAGGAGGUUAGUGCAAUGGCAUAAGCCAGCUUGACUGCGAGCGUGACGGCGCGAGCAGGUGCGAAAGCAGGUCAUAGUGAUCCGGUGGUUCUGAAUGGAAGGGCCAUCGCUCAACGGAUAAAGGUACUCCGGGGAUAACAGGCUGAUACCGCCCAAGAGUUCAUAUCGACGGCGGUGUUUGGCACCUCGAUGUCGGCUCAUCACAUCCUGGGGCUGAAGUAGGUCCCAAGGGUAUGGCUGUUCGCCAUUUAAAGUGGUACGCGAGCUGGGUUUAGAACGUCGUGAGACAGUUCGGUCCCUAUCUGCCGUGGGCGCUGGAGAACUGAGGGGGGCUGCUCCUAGUACGAGAGGACCGGAGUGGACGCAUCACUGGUGUUCGGGUUGUCAUGCCAAUGGCACUGCCCGGUAGCUAAAUGCGGAAGAGAUAAGUGCUGAAAGCAUCUAAGCACGAAACUUGCCCCGAGAUGAGUUCUCCCUGAGACUUAGAGUCUCCUGAAGGAACGUUGAAGACGACGACGUGAUAGGCCGGGUGUGUAAGCGCAAGCGAUGCGUUGAGCUAACCGGUACUAAUGAACCGUGAGGCUUAACCUU